AGUGAACGCUGGCGGUAGGCCUAACACAUGCGAGUCGAACGGCAGCACAGUAAGAGCUUGCUCUUACGGGUGGCGAGUGGCGGACGGGUGAGGAAUACAUCGGAAUCUACUUUUUCGUGGGGGAUAACGUAGGGAAACUUACGCUAAUACCGCAUACGACCUACGGGUGAAAGCAGGGGAUCUUCGGACCUUGCGCGAUUGAAUGAGCCGAUGUCGGAUUAGCUAGUUGGCGGGGUAAAGGCCCACCAAGGCGACGAUCCGUAGCUGGUCUAAGAGGAUGAUCAGCCACACUGGAACUGAGACACGGUCCAGACUCCUACGGGAGGCAGCAGUGGGGAAUAUUGGACAAUGGGCGCAAGCCUGAUCCAGCCAUACCGCGUGGGUGAAGAAGGCCUUCGGGUUGUAAAGCCCUUUUGUUGGGAAAGAAAAGCAGCAGGUUAAUACCCCGCUGUUCUGACGGUACCCAAAGAAUAAGCACCGGCUAACUUCGUG
rnacentral:rRNA from 1 species